rfam:Treponema phagedenis F0421 genomic scaffold Scfld1653, whole genome shotgun sequence.
ACCGCCAUGGAUGGCGGUGGUUCUAAACAGAAUUGAGUUUGAAAACUACCAUAGUUAUAUAAACAGGAGUUUUCAAACUCAUAGGUUUCAUUUUGCCACGGACGGCAAAAUGAAACCGUUG